rnacentral:misc_RNA from 1 species
GAUGAAGAACGUAGCGGAAUGCGAUACGUAAUGUGAAUUGCAGAAUUCAGUGAAUCAUCGAGUCUUUGAACGCACAUUGCGCCCCCUGGUAUUCCGGGGGGCAUGCCUGUCCGAGCGUCAUUGCUGCCCUCAAGCACGGCUUGUGUGUUGGGCCUCCGUCCUCCUCCCGGGGGACGGGCCCGAAAGGCAGCGGCGGCACCGCGUCCGGUCCUCGAGCGUAUGGGGCUUCGUCACCCGCUCUUGUAGGCCCGGCCGGCGCUUGCCGACACAUCAAUCUUUUUUCCAGGUUGACCUCGGAUCAGGUAGGGAUACCCGCUGAACUUAAGCAUAUCAAUAAGCGGAGGA